UACGAAGGGGGCUAGCGUUGUUCGGAAUCACUGGGCGUAAAGGGUGCGUAGGCGGCCGCGCAAGUCUGGCGUGAAAGCCCCGGGCUCAGCCCGGGAAGGGCGCUCGAAACGGCGCGGCUCGAGUGCCGGAGGGGAGAGUGGAAUUCCUGGUGUAGCGGUGAAAUGCGUAGAUAUCAGGAGGAAUACCGGUGGCGAAAGCGACUCUCUGGACGGCAACUGACGCUGAGGCACGAAAGCGUGGGGAGCAAACAGG
rnacentral:rRNA from 1 species